rnacentral:tRNA from 1 species
GCUUAAGUAGUUUAAAAAAAACAUAAAAUUUUCAUUUUUAAGUCAGAAAGUAUUUCUCUUAAGUU